CAUUUGCUUUAUGUAAUUUUAUGAUUAUGACCAUAUUCUUAUUUAUCAUUCAUUGUGUAUGUAAUUCAGAUUUUGACUGUAGUUGACCAUUUUCUCAACUUUGCCAGCCAAUGCGCUCAGUUUAAUUUGCCUAUCUAUCAGCAGUUCAACUCUCUUUUCCAGUCCAAAUCAUUCACUCUGCUCAAGUUUAUUUUUACUUUUGUCCUUUUUGUAAUAUUCAUUACCUUGAGCAGUCUCCUAUAAAAGGAGGUCAUUUCUCCCUCCUCGCUGUCAUUCUCUUUUUGUACGUACCUUGACCACGUCACUUUGUCACUCAAGUCCACAAGUCUCAAUUUCGCCCCAAUUUGUACAUCAAUAUAUUUUUAACUGAAGUAAAUGUGACUAUUUUGAUUGUGAUAACUUGUGCUCAUCAUCACGACUGAUUCUCAUCUCCAACACUCAUCCACCACUCAUUCAUCCCCUGCUUCCACGGUCACCUACGGCAACAUUUCCAUCCAACGAGUUCAUUCACACAAAUCCCCACAUUGGAAGUGCAUGAUUUAUAAAUCUACGCCUCUCCAUUUCCGUGAAUCGUUUGAUUAUGAAAGAAUCGAAUUUGCAUUGUCGUUACUAAAUCGUAACCGCUUCAUUUACAUUUUGCCCAAUUAAAACCAAUACGUUUUAGAAAAAAAUGUUUAAAGUCAUGAAUUUUUUCCGUUUAAAUACAACAUAUUUAUAAUUGAUUGAUACAUAAUCCGUGAUCAUGAGUGUGCAUGAGAUCAGCUUUGUCGUGCUUUCCUGUCCCACGGCUAAUAUUAACAUAUGUAUGUGAUGAUAACUUUAUUAGCUCCCUUAUCAAUCGUGCAUAAUGUUCACUCUUUUACAACUCACACUACAUACAACCCAUGAUAAAAAGUAUGACUAAUUCAGCCACAAAAUCCACUUGGUUAUGUUUCAUUCGGGCCUUUGUUAUCCUAUGUUUAUGAACUCUGUUAUUGCUUUACUUUCUCGGUUCAUAAUGCCUCAUGAAAUUUUCCAUUUGUAGGAAAGUACCUACACGUGGGCACAUGAGUAUGCAUGCACAUGGCCAAAUGUUACUGACCAUCUCAACCAGAACUAAAAUUAGCAUGCACGUUCGACCCGCAUUGUUCAAUUCAUGCAUGUUCAAUUCAGUCCUUGAUUAGUACUGUGCGUGGCUUAUCUGAAAUAUUUUCAUGAAAAAAUAUGAGACUCAAAAUUGGAUUGGAUCUGGUCGAUAUAAAAAGCCAUCGUUUCUUUCACUGAAAAUCAUUCCGAGAUCAACUCCGAAGCAUCAAAUUUCAUUUGGAUCGCCAAUUCCAAGUUUCUAUAUUUUUGAGAACUCUUCAACUUUCAAACAAUCGAGAACAAUGGAUUCCACCAGAAAUAAUUUUGGCUGCCGUCUCGGUGGGGUCAUCACCACCAUCCGGUCCAAGAUGUCAGUGUGGCCGACGCCUACGCGAGGGGAGAAUGACGGCAGCUACCCUCCACCCACUUGCCCUUCGUGUGGCCAAGCGUAUCCUUGUAGUUGCACAUAAGUUCAAGUCUUGCAAAUUCAGAAGUCUGAAUUUAGAGUAAGAACAUUGAACAGAAUUCAUACAGAACAGAACAGAAAACCUUACCACUAAUUUUAUUACCCAGAUUUUCUAUAAAUUAAUUGUAGAUUGUAUUAAAAAGACGUAAAUUUGUGUCAUAGAUCCUUCAUGUUAGGUUCGUGUAAAAAAUAAAUGAUAUACGUGUGAAAUGAAAUAUAAAAAAAAAUCUCAAUUAAAUUGCGCAUUUUACACAUGAUUAAGAUAAAAUAAUCAAAAUUCAUGUAUUAAUUUUUUAAGGGUACAUAAAAGAUAAGAUCAAAUUUUA